rnacentral:rRNA from 1 species
CCUACGGGUGGCUGCAGUGGGGAAUUUUGGACAAUGGGGGCAACCCUGAUCCAGCCAUGCCGCGUGAGUGAAGAAGGCCUUCGGGUUGUAAAGCUCUUUCGGCCGGGAGGAAAUCGCAUAGGUUAAUACCCUGUGUGGAUGACAGUACCGGAAUAAGAAGCACCGGCUAACUACGUGCCAGCAGCCGCGGUAAUACGUAGCGUGCGUGCGUUAAUCGGAACUACUGGGGGUAAAGCGUUCACAGGGGGGUGAAAGCCCCGGGCUCAACCUGGGAACUGCGCUUGUGACUGGAAGGCUAGAGUAUGGCAGAGGGGGGUGGAAUUCCACGUGUAGCAGUGAAAUGCGUAGAGAUGUGGAGGAACACCGAUGGCGAAGGCAGCCCCCUGGGCCAAUACUGACGCUCAUGCACGAAAGCGUGGGGAGCAAACAGGAUUAGAUACCCCAGUAGUC